rnacentral:rRNA from 1 species
ACAGGGAUUGCCUCAGUAACGGCGAGUGAAGCGGCAACAGCUCAAAUUUGAAAUCUGGUCCCCUCUGGGGGCCCGAGUUGUAAUUUGAAGAGGAUGCUUUUGGCGAGGCGCCUUCCGAGUGCCCUGGAACGGGACGCCACAGAGGGUGAGAGCCCCGUAUGGUAGGACGCCGAGCCUCUGUAAAGCUCCUUCGACGAGUCGAGUAGUUUGGGAAUGCUGCUCAAAAUGGGAGGUAAACCCCUUCUAAAGCUAAAUAUUGGCCAGAGACCGAUAGCGCACAAGUAGAGUGAUCGAAAGAUGAAAAGCACUUUGAAAAGAGAGUUAAACAGCACGUGAAAUUGUUGAAAGGGAAGCGCUUGCGACCAGACUUGCGCCCGUCGGAUCAACCGUCCCUCGUGGGCGGCGCACUCCGGCGGGCUCAGGCCAGCAUCAGUUUUCCCGGGGGGAGAAAGGCGGUGGGAACGUAGCUCUUCGGAGUGUUAUAGCCCGCCGCGUAAUGCCCUCGGGGGGACUGAGGACCGCGCGUAUGCAAGGAUGCUGGCGUAAUGGUCGUCAGCGACCCGUCUUGAAACACGGACCAAGGAGUCGUCCUAAUAUGCGAGUGUACGGGUGUAAAACCCCUGCGCGUAAUGAAAGUGAACGGAGGUGAGAGCUUCGGCGCAUCAUCGACCGAUCCUGAUGUUCUCGGAUGGAUUUGAGUAAGAGCAUAUUGGGCCGGACCCGAAAGAAGGUGAACUAUGCCUGUAUAGGGUGAAGCCAGAGGAAACUCUGGUGGAGGCUCGCAGCGGUUCUGACGUGCAAAUCGAUCGUCAAAUAUGGGCAUGGGGGCGAAAGACUAAUCGAACCU